rnacentral:rRNA from 1 species
UACGUAGGGUGCGAGCGUUGUCCGGAAUUAUUGGGCGUAAAGAGCUCGUAGGCGGUCCGUCACGUCGGGUGUGAAAAUCCAGGGCUCAACUCUGGACCUGCACCCGAUACGGGCGGACUAGAGUUCGGUAGGGGAGACUGGAAUUCCUGGUGUAGCGGUGAAAUGCGCAGAUAUCAGGAAGAACACCCGUGGCGAAGGCGGCUCUCUGGGACGGUACUGACGCUGAGACGCGAAAGCGUGGGGAGCGAACAGG